rnacentral:rRNA from 1 species
CCUACGGGAGGCAGCAGUGGGGAAUAUUGCACAAUGGGGGAAACUCUGAUGCAGCAACGCCGCGUGAAGGAAGACGGUUCUCUGAGUGGAAACUUCUGUUCUUAGGGAAGAAUAAUGACGGUAGCUAAGGAGCAAGCCACGGCUAACUACGUGCCAGCAGCCUCGGUAAUACAUAGGUGGCAAGCGUUGUCCGGAAUUACUGGGUGUAAAGGGAGCGCAGGCGGGAAGCCAAGUCAGCUGUGAAAGCUACGGGCUUAACUUUUAGACUGCAGUUGAAACUGGUGUUCUUGAGUGAAGUAGAGGUGGGCGGAAUUCCGGGUGUAGCGGUGAAAUGCGUAGAUAUUCGGAGGAACACCGAUGGCGAAGGCAGCCAACUGGGCUGUAACUGACGCUGAGGCUCGAAAGUGUGGGGAGCAAACAGGAUUAGAUACCCCAGUAGUC